rnacentral:rRNA from 1 species
UACGAAGGGGGCUAGCGUUGCUCGGAAUGACUGGGCGUAAAGGGCGCGUAGGCGGUUUGGUUAGUUAGGCGUGAAAUUCCUGGGCUCAACCUGGGGACUGCGCUUAAUACAGCCAGGCUAGAGUGUGGAAGAGGGUCGUGGAAUUCCCAGUGUAGAGGUGAAAUUCGUAGAUAUUGGGAAGAACACCGGUGGCGAAGGCGGCGACCUGGUCCAUUACUGACGCUGAGGCGCGAAAGCGUGGGGAGCAAACAGG